GGGGAAUAUUGCACAAUGGAGGAAACUCUGAUGCAGCGAUGCCGCGUGAGGGAAGAAGGUUUUAGGAUUGUAAACCUCUGUCUUCGGGGACGAAAAAAAGACGGUACCUGAGGAGGAAGCUCCGGCUAACUACGUGCCAGCAGCCGCGGUAAUACGUAGGGAGCGAGCGUUGUCCGGAAUUACUGGGUGUAAAGGAAGCGUAGGCGGGAUCGCAAGUCAGAUGUGAAAACUAUGGGCUUAACCCAUAAACUGCAUUUGAAACUGUGGUUCUUGAGUGAAGUAGAGGUAAGCGGAAUUCCUAGUGUAGCGGUGAAAUGCGUAGAUAUUAGGAGGAACAUCAGUGGCGAAGGCGGCUUACUGGGCUUUAACUGACGCUGAGGCUCGAAAGCGUGGGGAGCAAACAGGAUUAGAUACCCUGGUAGUCCACGCCGUAAACGAUGAUCACUAGGUGUGGGGGGACUGACCCCUUCCGUGCCGCAGCAAACGCAAUAAGUAAUCCACCUGGGGAGUACGACCGCAAGGUUGAAACUCAAAGGAAUUGACGGGGGCCCGCACAAGCAGUGGAGUAUGUGGAUUAAUUCGAAGCAACGCGAAGAACCUUACCAGGUCUUGACAUCGUAUGCAUAGCUCAGAGAUGAGUGAAAUCUCUUCGGAGACAUAUAGACAGGUGGUGCAUGGUUGUCGUCAGCUCGUGUCGUGAGAUGUUGGGUUAAGUCCCGCAACGAGCGCAACCCUUACUGUUAGUUGCUACGCAAGAGCACUCUAGCAGGACUGCCGUUGACAAAACGGAGGAAGGUGGGGAUGACGUCAAAUCAUCAUGCCCCUUAUGACCUGGGCCUCACACGUACUACAAUGGCUGUCAACAGAGGGAUGCAAAGCCGCGAGGUGGAGCGAACCCCUAAAAGCAGUCUUAGUUCGGAUUGUAGGCUGCAACCCGCCUACAUGAAGUCGGAAUUGCUAGUAAUCGCAGAUCAGCAUGCUGCGGUGAAUACGUUCCCG
rnacentral:rRNA from 1 species